rnacentral:lncRNA from 1 species
AGGAUCAAAGGCCGGACAAGCUUGUCACUGGAGGCAAUUAUUCUUCCUUUUUAAGGGAUCAGGCUGGCUACACAGCACAUCCGUAUCCUCUAUAUGAGAAUGAGAGCAGAAUAGGGACCACUACAAUUGACUGUCACCCAGUAAGUACUAUGAGCAUAGCAGUUUGGAACUCACAUGGGCCUUGGAGAUCAUAAUAAGCUGUGUGGUUUUGCUUGCUAAGUUACUCAUGCCCACUGCCACAUCAGCUGAUCUGAACUCACACUCCCAUACACAAACAUUGAAAACAAAUACUUUCUGGAC